rnacentral:rRNA from 1 species
UGGGGGAUAUUGCACAAUGGGCGAAAGCCUGAUGCAGCGACGCCGCGUGGGGGAUGAAGGCUUUCGGGUUGUAAACCUCUUUCGCUAUCGAACAAGGCCCGCUUAGGGUGGGUUGAGGGUAGGUGGAGAAGAAGCGCCGGCUAACUACGUGCCAGCAGCCGCGGUAAUACGUAGGGCGCGAGCGUUGUCCGGAAUUAUUGGGCGUAAAGGGCUUGUAGGCGGCUUGUUGCUCCUGCUGUGAAAACGCGGGGCUUAACUUCGCGCGUGCAGUGGGUACGGGCAGUCUUGAGUGUGGUAGGGGUGACUGGAAUUCCAGGUGUAGCGGUGGAAUGCGCAGAUAUCUGGAGGAACACCGAUGGCGAAGGCAGGUCACUGGGCCAUUACUGACGCUGAGGAGCGAAAGCAUGGGUAGCGAACAGG